AAAGGGCAAGAGAGUAAAUUUUAAAUUUGUUAGGCAGACAUUCUAUGUUGCAACUACUCACCUCUGUCCUAAUAGAGAGAAAGCAACCAUACACAAUAUACAAAUGAGUGGAUGUGGCUAGGAUGCAAUAAAGUUUUAUUUAUAAAAAGAGGCUCCCCCACACACACACAGAAAUGUAAUAAAAUAAUAUGCUGGAAUUCUUAGCUGUUUUGGUGUUGGUUUUUCACCAUUCCUUUUAUGUACAUGUAUGUCAUUAUAGUAAUGUUUUUAGUUUUAUUUCUCUGACACAUCUUUCUUGUCCCUUGAUUUAUUAUAUUUUUGAGCCUAUCAGCUCCCCUAGGAUUAUGUCUUUAUAAUCACUUGGUUCAUAGGCCGUCCAACUGUGUUUGUCCCACAGUGUUUUAGCAUAAUUGCUUUUUUUCAUACUGAGACUUUGAGAAAAUACUGGCUGCUUGAGGGUUUCUAUUUGGUAAGGAAGAAUUUGGUUGCAGAGUUUAUUAAGUAAUGAUGAAUGAGUUAAAAAGAGCAUUGUGCAUUCCAUUAAGAUGGAAUAAGCACCUUGCUAAGUGCAACUAGAGACUCUGGACAGAAUGCAUGAAUUAGCUAUCUGAGGACCCUGAGAAGUAAAUGUUAGCAGGUGAGUGGAAGAAGGAAAUCAGAAUUCAAAAUAGCAUGAAAACAACCAUGAUUUUCUGUCUCCCGCCCCCAAUCUCUUGAGGUGAUCUCAAAGGUGUCCAGAAACCCAGAACUGCACACCAGGUGCAAAUAAAGAGAUCCAAAAAGUUCUCUUUUUCUUGUCUGUAAAGAUAGAAAGGGGGCCCCUUUAGGUCAGAGAGAGUGGAGGGAAAUCCCUUUUUGGUUUUGGUUUUGUUUUUUCUUCUCCAGCCACUGCUCAGGCAGUUCUGUAGUAAUCGUGGCCAGGCAGAUGCCUGAACUCCAAGGGAAAAGAGGACCUUUUUUUUUGACCAGAGAAACUGUGUGGUCCCAAGAUGGAAUAGCAUCAGGGAUAUAUCCCUGUUCUUUUCGCUCUUUGUCGUCUCCCCCAUUUGCCUGGAGAGAUAGAGACAAUCACAGGCAGUCUGCUGCAGAGUGGGAAAACUAAAGCCUUGGCUUUCUAGCCAUGAGACCAGAAAUCCCCACCUCUGAGCCAGAAAUUGUCAGCAGUUAUGGAGAAGAGAGAGUUGAAUAAAAUGAAUGCCAUUAAGAACACCCCUGGGCUGCUCAUGUAUGGCUCUGGCCCUAAACAGAAUAUCAACGGCUUUGCAAACUGAUAGCUCACCUCCCAGUCCAGACUGGCCACUCUGUAGGACAGAUCUGAAUACCAUGGCAUGCAUAAUAUCCUUUCCUAACUAAACUGAAACCAGAACAUAACCCAAAAGUUGGGUAAGAACUUGAAGACUGAACCUUAAACAUUUCAGUUGCCUGCUAAAACAAGUUUUAAAAAUCAACAUGCUCUGUAGGAUUUUUAAAUAAGAUUUUAAAUUAUAUAACGUGAUCAAAAUGUCCAGGCUGCAGUCAUAAGUUACUCAAUAAUGCAAAUGACCAAGAAAUUCUCAGUAUCUCUCAAUGGAAGAUAAUCAACAGACACUACCAGCCUUGAAGUGAUACAGAUCAAGAUUCCAAGGCAGCUGUCAUAACCAUUCUAUAAGAAGUAAGAGUGAACACUCUUACAAUGAAAGGAGGCCUUAGGAGAGAGAUAGAAUAUGGAACUUAAAAUAUAUGAAAAGUAACUACUGGAAUAAAGGUUUAUUGGACGGGCUUUAGUAGAAUGGAAAUGACAGAUAAGUGAAUGAGCUUAAAGAUCUAUCUAGGAAUUACCUGCUCAGCAAGAGAGGAAAAGUACUGUGGGGUGGAGAGAAUGAACAGAACCUGAGGGGCCUGUGUCAGCAGAUUCCAGGAAAGAGGGGAGUGUUACAUAAAAAAUAUUUAAGAAAACAGUCCACAUCUAUGUUCAUUAUAAUGAAUAGGUUCUAUAGCAGCUAAGUUUUUGGCAGUGAAAUGAGUAAGCUUCAUUUAUGUAGAUUAAAAUAAGAUGGCAUUUAAGUAGAAUGUAUACCUAUAGUUGGCUGACAGGAUAAUUCUGUCAAAUGAAUCUUUAUUUUUUCAAGGUGUACAUUCUAAAUACAAGAAUUAUUGCAGUGACCAAUUUAAAACAAAACAAAGGAUUAUGUGACAGUAAUCUAGGUUUUUAAAAUUUAGGGGUGUUCAUGAUUUUCCAGCAGGUCCUUUAAGAUCUAAUUAGAAUAGUUAUUGCCAGAUUCAACAAGUAUUGGAAAGCCUGCUACAAACUAGACUAGUAGGCACAGUCCCCGACUACAUGGAAUGACUAGCGGAAUUGAUGUGAAUACCAAAAUAGCUACACAAAUAAAAUACUUUAAAAGACAAGUCUUCUGAGCUUUAAAACAUUUUAAUGACAGAUUUGAUCUGGUAGGGUUAGUGUGCUAACGAGCUGGAGGAGGGGAGUUGGGGACAAGGGUUCUAGGUAGGAUGAAAUCCAUUCCAACAGUAUCCACAACAAAGUGCAUUUUUCUUUUUUUGACAAUGCUUCUCGACUUUUAACUUGCUUUUCUUUACUCAUUUAACUAGCGAAAGGUAAUGGUUUUCCUGGGUUUAUGAGCCUCUUGAAUGUCUUCUGUAUGCGGCUUAUUCACAGUAUUUUAUCUAUUUGUCUUUUUCUUAAUUUCUAUGUUUCUGGUUUGCUUUUUAAAUUGUGUUUUGUAUAUAGCAAAAUGUUUUGCGUUAUUUAGUGGAUGUCAGUAUAGACAGA